GGAAGUAAAAGUCGUAACAAGGUCUCCGUUGGUGAACCAGCGGAGGGAUCAUUACCGAGUUAUACAACUCCCAAACCCACUGUGAACCUUACCUCAGUUGCCUCGGCGGGAACGCCCCGGCCGCCUGCCCCCGCGCCGGCGCCGGACCCAGGCGCCCGCCGCAGGGACCCCAAACUCUCUUGCAUUACGCCCAGCGGGCGGAAUUUCUUCUCUGAGUUGCACAAGCAAAAACAAAUGAAUCAAAACUUUCAACAACGGAUCUCUUGGUUCUGGCAUCGAUGAAGAACGCAGCGAAAUGCGAUAAGUAAUGUGAAUUGCAGAAUUCAGUGAAUCAUCGAAUCUUUGAACGCACAUUGCGCCCGCCAGCAUUCUGGCGGGCAUGCCUGUUCGAGCGUCAUUUCAACCCUCGAGCCCCCCCCGGGGGCCUCGGUGUUGGGGGACGGCACACCAGCCGCCCCCGAAAUGCAGUGGCGACCCGCCGCAGCCUCCCCUGCGUAGUAGCACACACCUCGCACCGGAGCGCGGAGGCGGUCACGCCGUAAAACGCCCAACUUUCUUAGAGUUGACCUCGGAUCAGGUAGGAAUACCCGCUGAACUUAAGCAUA
rnacentral:rRNA from 1 species